AGAGUUUGAUCCUGGCUCAGAACGAACGCUGGCGGCAUGGAUUAGGCAUGCAAGUUGAACGAACCACUUCGGUGGAGAGUAGCGGAAGGGUGAGGAACGCGUGAGUAAUCUGCCCCCUAGUUGGGAAUAACAGUUGGAAACGACUGCUAAUACCGAAUGUGGCUUCAAUCCUGCAUGGGAUGGAGGCUAAAGAUUUAUCGCUAGGGGAUGAGCUCGCGUCCCAUUAGGUAGUUGGUGAGGUAACGGCCCACCAAGCCGACGAUGGGUAGCCGACCUGAGAGGGUGAUCGGCCACAUUGGAACUGAGAGACGGUCCAGACUCCUACGGGAGGCAGCAGUGGGGAAUAUUGGGCAAUGGAGGGAACUCUGACCCAGCAACGCCGCGUGAGUGAAGAAGGUUUUCGGAUUGUAAAACUCUUUAAGCGGGGACGAAGAAAGUGACUGUACCCGCAGAAUAAGCAUCGGCUAACUACGUGCCAGCAGCCGCGGUAAUACGUAGGAUGCAAGCGUUAUCCGGAAUGACUGGGCGUAAAGGGUGCGUAGGUGGUUUGCCAAGUUGGCAGCGUAAUUCCGUGGCUUAACCGCGGAACUACUGCCAAAACUGGUAGGCUUGAGUGCGGCAGGGGUAUGUGGAAUUCCUAGUGUAGCGGUGGAAUGCGUAGAUAUUAGGAGGAACACCAGUGGCGAAAGCGACAUACUGGGCCGUAACUGACACUGAAGCACGAAAGCGUGGGUAGCAAACAGGAUUAGAUACCCUGGUAGUCCACGCCGUAAACGAUGAUUACUAGGU
rnacentral:rRNA from 1 species